rnacentral:rRNA from 1 species
CCUACGGGAGGCAGCAGUGGGGAAUAUUGCGCAAUGGGCGAAAGCCUGACGCAGCGACGCCGCGUGAGGGAUGAAGGUCUUCGGAUCGUAAACCUCUGUCAGCAGGGAAGAACGGUCACUGUGCUAAUCAGCAGUGAAUUGACGGUACCUGCAAAGGAAGCACCGGCUAAAUCCGUGCCAGCAGCCGCGGUAAUACGGAGGGUGCGAGCGUUAAUCGGAAUUACUGGGCGUAAAGCGCUCGUAGGCGGUAUGUCAAGUCAAGGGGGAAAUCCCCGCGCUCAACGUGGGAGCUGCCUUUGAAACUGGCAAACUGGAGUGUGUGAGAGGAUAGUGGAAUUCCAGGUGUAGGAGUGAAAUCCGUAGAUAUCUGGAGGAACAUCAGUGGCGAAGGCGACUAUCUGGCACAUAACUGACGCUGAGGAGCGAAAGCGUGGGUAGCAAACAGGAUUAGAUACCCGAGUAGUC